rnacentral:rRNA from 1 species
CCUACGGGUGGCAGCAGUGAGGAAUAUUGGUCAAUGGGCGGGAGCCUGAACCAGCCAAGCCGCGUGAGGGAAGAAGGUACAGCGUAUCGUAAACCUCUUUUGUCAGGGAACAAAGGCGGGGACUAGUCCCCGGAUGAGGGUACCUGAAGAAAAAGCAUCGGCUAACUCCGUGCCAGCAGCCGCGGUAAUCCGGAGGCUGCGAGCGUUAUCCGGCUUUAUUGGGUUUAAAGGGUGCGCAGGCGGCCUGUUAAGUCAGCGGGAAAAGCCCGGGGCUCAACCCCGGCGAGCCGUUGAAACUGGCGGGCUGGAGUUGGAGAGAAGUACGCGGAAUGCGCGGGGUAGCGGUGAAAUGCUUAGAUAUCGCGCAGAACCCCGAUUGCGAAGGCAGCGUACCGGCUCCACACUGACGCUGAGGCACGAAAGCGUGGGUAUCGAACAGGAUUAGAUACCCCUGUAGUC